UCUACUUCUUUUCCUUCCAUUUCCUUGUAAACCAAAUAACAAUUUUAUUAAAUACUGUUUAAAAGAUCAUAGGAGCAAAAUGAACCGUAGAUUUUUUACUUCCCUCCAUUUUGGGUUUUUUACAAAAAGAUUAUAAAAAAAAAAAAAUUUACCAAAAUGUUAUAACUUUUUUAUUUACCAAAAUAUAUAAAAAACAAAAAACCUGCAAAAAAAAUCAGAUCGAUGUGACGGGACCCUAGUCACGCCAAUGGUAUUGGCGGCGCCAAAGGUGCCAAAACCAUUGGCGGCACCAGUUAAUAAUAGGGGGGUCGGUGGUGGGGGGCAAAAGGAGAGGGAAAGAAAGAAAGAAAGAAAGGAGAGGAAAGAAAGAAAAAGAAGGAAAGAAAAGGAAAGGAGAAGAGAAAAAAAGAAAGAAAGAAGAAGAAGAAAAGGAAAAG
rnacentral:lncRNA from 1 species